rnacentral:rRNA from 1 species
GACGAACGCUGGCGGCGUGCUUAACACAUGCAAGUCGAGCGGUAAGGCCCUUUCGGGGGUACACGAGCGGCGAACGGGUGAGUAACACGUGGGUGACCUGCCCUCAGCUCUGGGAUAAGCCCGGGAAACUGGGUCUAAUACCGGAUAUGACUCCAUGACGCAUGUUGUGGGGUGGAAAGCCUUGUGCGGCUGAGGAUGGGCCCGCGGCCUAUCAGCUUGUUGGUGGGGUGAUGGCCACCAAGGCGACGACGGGUAGCCGGCCUGAGAGGGCGACCGGCCACACUGGGACUGAGAUACGGCCCAGGACUCCUACGGGAGGCAGCAGUGGGGAAUCUUGCGCAAUGGGCGAAAGCCUGACGCAGCGACGCCGCGUGAGGGAUGACGGCC